rnacentral:lncRNA from 1 species
UACCGAGACGCUUGAUCGCUCGGUCGACUCACCUCCAGCCUCUGGAGUCCGAUCGACGAUCCGAACACACCAACGGACUCAAAACGACGUGUUGAUGAUGAUCCCCACUUCAAAUUUUCUGAUUCGAGCCCCGAUCAUCUAGAGAGAUUUACGGAUGAUCUCAACCGUCGAUUUACGAACGGAGUCUGAUCACCAUGAAACUGGUGCCAUUGCGAAGCUUGUGCUGAGGAGAGUCCAG